CUGAACGCUGGCGGCGUGGCUAAGACAUGCAAGUCGCACGGACCCGCAAGGGUUAGUGGCGAACGGGUGAGUAAUGAAUCGCUAAUGUACCCCGGACUCUGGGAUAGCUUUCCGAAAGGGAGGGUAAUACCAGAUGAUAUAACCUGAUCGCAUGAUCGGGUUCUCAAAGGUCCGCCGGUCUGGGAGCAGGCGAUUUCGUAUCAGCUAGUUGGUGAGGUAAUGGCUCACCAAGGCGACGACGCGUAGCCGGACUGAGAGGUUGGCCGGCCACAUUGGGACUGAGACACUGCCCAGACUCCUACGGGGGGCUGCAGUAACGAAUCUUCCGCAAUGUACGAAAGUAUGACGGAGCGACGCCGCGUGUAGGACGAAGCCCUUCGGGGUGUAAACUACUGUCAGGGGUUAGAAAGUUCUGAUCAACCCCAGAGGAAGGCACGGCUAACUCUGUGCCAGCAGCCGCGGUAAUU
rnacentral:rRNA from 1 species